GCUSCUACCGAUUGRAUGDYCCGGUGAAAUCUUGGGAUUGCGGCGAUGUAGCUAGCAAUAGCCGCGACGUUGCGAGAACUUGCUUAAACCUUAACAUCUAGAGGAAGGAGAAGUCGUAACAAGGUUUCCGUAGGUGAACCUGCGGAAGGAUCAUUA
rnacentral:rRNA from 1 species